rnacentral:rRNA from 1 species
CAUGAACGCUGGCGGCGUGCUUAACACAUGCAAGUCGAACGGGAAACCUUUUAUUGAAGCUUCGGCAGAUUUAGAUUGUUUCUAGUGGCGGACGGGUGAGUAACGCGUGGGUAACCUGCCUUAUACAGGGGGAUAACAGUCAGAAAUGACUGCUAAUACCGCAUAAGCGCACAGAGCUGCAUGGCUCGGUGUGAAAAACUCCGGUGGUAUAAGAUGGACCCGCGUUGGAUUAGCUAGUUGGUGAGGUAACGGCCCACCAAGGCGACGAUCCAUAGCCGGCCUGAGAGGGUGAACGGCCACAUUGGGACUGAGACACGGCCCAGACUCCUACGGGAGGCAGCAGUGGGGAAUAUUGCACAAUGGGGGAAACCCUGAUGCAGCGACGCCGCGUGAAGGAAGAAGUAUCUCGGUAUGUAAACUUCUAUCAGCAGGGAAGAAAAUGACGGUACCUGACUAAGAAGCCCCGGCUAACUACGUGCCAGCCGCCGCGGUAAUAC